rnacentral:rRNA from 1 species
UACGAAGGGGGCUAGCGUUGUUCGGAUUUACUGGGCGUAAAGCGCGCGUAGGCGGGUCACUAAGUCAGGGGUGAAAUCCCGAGGCUUAACCUCGGAACUGCCUUUGAUACUGGUGAUCUGGAGAUCGGGAGAGGUUGGUGGAAUUCCGAGUGUAGAGGUGAAAUUCGUAGAUAUUCGGAGGAACACCAGAAGCGAAGGCGGCCAACUGGCCCGAUACUGACGCUGAGGCGCGAAAGCGUGGGGAGCAAACAGG